UAUAUAUAUGGAUAUGUGACCUCAUCAAUGUAGAUAUUACCCUCAAAUAUGAUUUCCCUCAAAGAUUUCAACUCUAAAAGUUAAAUCAUCUCAAUAUCCCAUUACCUGGGGCCCCUCCUCCUUCUGGGUGAAGAAGGUAGAGGGUAAACCUCAGAGACCUCCUCCCAGAUCUUCCAUCUGAGGGGAAGGUCCUGGGUUAUAGGUACCAGAGAGCUUCUCUCUCAAACUUGUGCUCUUUUCAUCUUCUUUUUAACAUGCUAUCUUUCCUCAUUAGAUUAUGAGUUCCUUGAGGACAUGGACUAUCUUUUGCCUUUCUUUGUAUUCCUAGAGCUUAGCACAAAGUAAGUAUUUUAUAAAUGUUUAUUGACUGAAAAAUACAACUUAUAGUUGACCCAUGGCUGCCUGUUUGUGAGGCUUCCAUCAUAUGCCUUUCAUAUAUUGACUGCAGGGAGAAUGUCCAAUUUACUGGAAACUUUCCUUCGGGUCUUUUCACAAUGAGAUGGUGCCAAUACAAACCAUCUUCCAUAAGUGAAUAUUUAACAAAUAUUUGUUGAAUAGAAUUGAAUGAGUUACCCUUCAUAGUCUCCAUAAGACUGACUCUUUUACAUAAAAGAAGAUAAAAUCAAUUCUAGAAAUAUUAACUGGUCAAUUUUAAUCUGCUUGACCAGUGAAAGAGUUUACUGCUAUUUACAAUUUUUCUAAUGGUUUUAUUCCUUCUUCCAGUGCUCUACUUUGAUGGAAAUAGUUUACAGCAUCUGGAGGAAGAAGGAACUGGGAAAUCACUCUGUCUAACCCUAUCACUUUCAAGACAAGAAAACAUAGAUCCAGAGAAACUAGUCGAAGUUUGCACAGACAAAUUGCACAUCCCUAAGAGGAAAGAGAGAAGAAAGCAUAUGAUAAGAGCUAUGAUGAUAUGACAUGAACCAUACUAUAAUGCUUUCUAGUGCCAGAUCUAGAACCAGAGCAGAGCAAGUCAAGCUUUGACCAGGUACUAAAAUUUAUUGGAGUUGGACUUCCUUUCCCAAAUGUUACUCAUAGACAAUUGAAAUACUGACAUUAAGUAGAAAAAUGUAAAAAAAAAAAAAAACAGAUUACUAAGGUCUUUUCCAAAUCUCUUAUUGAAUGUGGACAAGUUUUCUUCCUACUUGGUUCUGUCUUUCUACUCUGAAUACCUACAACCCCAAGGAUUUGGCAUCAGACUCUCUUCUAACAAUAUAGUCUUUAGAAAUCAAAAUUCAAAGCAAAUAUUUUUAAGGCAAAAGUCCCAAUAGUGAUACUUACAUUGUAGGAAACUUCCCCAAAAUUUUUGCUCCAGAGUGUAUAACCCCAUUUACCUGGGCCUUCAAAAGCAAAAGGGAAGGGACCAUCUAAUUUGUGAAAAUUAUUAUCAUUAUAAAGCACUCUUUGCUUUAGAUCUUAGGAAGCCAAAGGUAAGGAAGAAGCUUCUUCUACAAAAAUCAUUCCUUUGACUCACUUCAUGCCCAAAAUCCAGUGUAAAGGAAAAGGAAGAUUUCCAGAAAGUUUCCAAAGUCUCAGAAUCAGUAAUUACCCCCCAAGAGAAUUAUACAAGAAAAAUCUGGAUACCACAAAAAAAUAAGUAGGAUUUUCUCUUGAAGAGAGUAGUCUACCUACCACCCAGCCUAAAUUCUCCAUUCAAGAGUAAAAAAAAAAAUGACUUCUGUUCUACCCUCCCCUUUCUUUGUGGUUUGACCAGGCAAGGAUCCUCAAGGGACAUGGCUAUGCUAUUGGCUAUUAUCAUCCUAGUUUCUGUAGUUCUGUUAAAAAAAUAUUUAUUCAGCAUCCACUAUCUUUGGGGCACCAGGCUAGGUGCAACAGACAAUACAAAGAAGAAGAUUCAGAUAAGAGCUGUACAAAUAACUAUAAUGUGAAGUAUAAUACAAAAGUAAACUAAGAGAGGUGAACACCUCUGAGAAGGGAGUUUUACCAAUUUAUGGGAUUCUUAGUUCUAACAUUUUGGGAAUAAUCCCAUGGUCACAUGCAGAAGAGAUCUCAAUAUGAAAUAAUCUUUUUUUUCUGCCAGGUUGGUAUGCCUUUAAAUACAAAUAUAUAAAUAAUCAAAUACUCCCACGUAUUUAUGAUCUCCUUGACUUGAAUGUUUGCACAAACUAACAACAAUUCCUUCCCAUUCUGUACAAUUUUUAUGAAAAUCCUUUUCAUCAAUAUAUCCUAUGGCUGGCUAAAUACCUAACAUGCUAUGGGCUUCCAUGGUUUUUCUUAAAAUUUCAAGUAUAUCAACAUUGUUUGCUCCUCAGUAAUUCUUUAUUUCUUUUUGAUGAAAUAUGUAAAACACUGUAAACACAAAAUAAGCCACUGAAAAAUCUUCUGGGGUAAAAGGAAGACUUUCUAAAUGUAUAAUUAAUCAUUUCUGUAUCUCUUUUAUGCCAAUACUGGGGAUAUUGUCAAAUGUAAUAAAGUAAAUCAGUUAAAA
rnacentral:lncRNA from 1 species